rnacentral:tRNA from 1 species
UCUAUUAUGGCAGAUUAAUGCAUUGGUCUUAAGAUCCAUUAAUAAAGAAUUUUUCUUUUUUUAGAA